GACCGGCCCGAGGACGCGCAGGGCGGGCCCGGCAGCGCGGCAGCCCUGCGGUCCCGGUGGGAGAGGCCGGGGUGCCCGAGGACUCCGCUCCCCGGGCCUGAGAGACCGGUGUGCGGGUGCGAGCCCGGUGGCAGCUGUUUUGUCACACGGCUGGGGUUCUUCAGGAAGCGGAUACCUCCUCUCCCGAAGUGGAUAUUGCCACCCCCUUAUUUCUGAGUAUUUCUGUUAAUAUGCUGUUCCUGCACGUCACCAGUGGCUUCAUCAGAACAUCUCCAGCAUGAUUUUGGAACAUCCCUGUCGUCUGGUCCGUAAGCCCUGAAAUGUUUUUACAUCCUUGAACUGUAUCCCCAUUGAAGGUUUUGAUACUUUUUCAAAACCUUUCGUCUUGGAAAUACUUUUGUUAAAUCAAUGAGAAUGCUGCUGUGUUUAAAUACCUUUUGAAAUCGCAGCCAGGGUACCCAUCCUGCUUUAUUUUUAAUACUUCUGAUCUGCAUGUUUACAUGUGACUUUCCAGGACUCUUCGCUGGCCGUGUGCAGCACAGUGAUGCUGCAGCUGGUGGCGUGUAAGUCAUUUUCUUAGUCACGUUGCAGUUCCGGAAAAAAGUAUUCCACAAAUGUUGUGGUAUAAUACAAGUAAUUUGCCUACUUAAACGUGUAAGCAUGUGCUAGUGCCAAGUAUUGGCUUGGUUUCUCUGAAAAGUAACUUUCAAAUGGUCCAUAUUUCAGCCGGACCACCUACUGUAUUUGUGGAGACGCUGUGGUUUACUUAACAUGCCCCAGAAUUCGUCAGUUUUUCAACAGAGGGUGGAACUAAACACGGCAGAAUCCCUGGAUCACCCUAUAAAAUAGUGACAUGAAGCAGAAAGUGCUUAGUCCUGAAUUGCAAGAAAUGGCAAAACGAGACAAAAAUUCCAGCUCUAACCUAUGUGAAAGUUUCCAAUUUAUAGUAUUUGUAUCUAACAAGAAGAGUUUUAAUGUGGUUUAAAUUACAUGUGUUCCUUUCAAUAUUCAAAAAUUAUUCUAAGAACAAACUGGAGCAUGUUUUAGAAAAAAAAAAAGAAGAGUUCAUUUUCUUUUUGAAGUACACAUAUAUAGAAAGUGCAUAUAUUUAGCUCCCCAAACUAAAUACAGCUUUAAGUGAUAUGAAAAGGUAAACGUUUUAUCAUCAUGUGUUAAUAAUUACAGUUUUCCUCUUAAUGAUAUUUUUCUUGUUGCCACAUCCCAUACAUUUAAUUAGAACACUUGUUUUAACAUAAUAACAUCUAACAUGUUGAGAAACAUGAAUAGUUUUGAUAUAUUUAUGAUUUAUUACUAUAGAUAUUAAUAUCAGCUGUAGAGCUUUCAAAAAUAGCCAGUAUUUAGUUAAUUGGAACUACUUAUUUUAAAAAAUAUUUGUAGUAGCUUUUCUUUAAAGCAACUUUAUGUGUCGGAGAGACCUCAGCCAUGCAGACAUGCCAUUCUCACGUGCCACUUGGUGCUACCUCUCUCUGUUAAAAAUGUCAAAUACCUGCUAGUAAAUGCAGACUCCGAUUCCUCACUGAACGCAUGUGCUACAUUUUGUUGCAGCUGAGAAAUCUGCUGAGAUCUGUGCGGCAGUUCAUUCUAUACCAGAAAAAGGAUAUUCCUAACAAGGCAGUAGCAGCUAAUGUGCAACUUGUGUUUCAGCUGGCAUUUGCUCUCUGUGCAGUUUUAAACACUUUGUCCUCUUGUCUUCAGUGCAUGUGAGAAAUCUUCAUGCAAAGCUGGGAUGUUUGUAACAGGGACUGAAGACUUCUUGCUGCAGUUCAAAAUGUGAGACUGUACUGAUGACACAUGCAUUUUGGAAAACCAUGGUUUAAUAAAAGGAGAAAGAAGGACAGGGGUGAAGUUACGUGUUAACUUCUCCAGUGUGGUGCAGUGUAGUCGUAAUACCAGAUGAAGGCUGAAAUUUACCUUAUUUUCUCAUUCUAGGUUGACCUUUCUGUUGAAGGUGCAUGUUCCACUUCCAGUGCAUAGAAUCUUUGAGUAAAUAAUUUUUGCCAAUUCCCUCUGUUUAAUUCUACUAUGAUUUUCCUCCAUUGAAUUGCUUAUAAAAAGCUGUGACAGUUCUGUUGCAGUAUUCAUCUUUUACCACAAUCAUGUGUAAUCUGUUUGCUUUUCUGGUUCUACUUUUUGCUUCGUUUUUAAUAUGAGAGCUCAUUGAAAAUAUUCGGUAUUUGAACUCUCAGUGGCCAGGAGUUAAAAGAGUCCUUUCUUACUCCCACUUAAAACCUGUGCUGGCUGUUCCUGUGGGAGUUUGAAACUGUAGCUGCCCAGAGAGGAGCCAGCUUUCCAGCUUCAUGCUUGUGGACUUUCUAUACUGUAUGUAUUUUGUAGGAGUAUUACUCUAUAUAAAGCUCUAUGUAUGUCCAGGAUAAAUCUGAACACAGCAAGCAGAAAAGCCUGUUUGUAGUGAAUUGUUAAUGACAUAGAUACCUCAAGAAAUGUUGAGCUGGAAGCUCAAAAGAAGCUUCAUUAGAUGCAGUUUCUGAAGUUUAGUCUGAGCCACUGUUUUGGCACAUUUCAGACAGUGGGGGGACAGUUUAUAUUCAGAAUCAGAAAAAAGAUCUGAGAAGUUGUAUUCUUGCAGACAAACUAAAUACCUUUUGAAAUUUAAUACCAUGCUAAUUUCAAUUUAGCAGCUAAAUAGUAAGGAAAACCUGUAUCAAUAUGAAAUUUUGCACUUGAGUGAGCUCAUUGUACAUCAACAGCUAGUGAAUUCUGAUUACUCCCACCGACGUAUAAGUUAGGUCAAGCCAUACAUGGAUUUAAACCAUUUAAACCAUUUAAACUAUUCAGUAACAAGUAAGAAAUAAUGCUUAGUUAGAUACACAUUUUAAAAUUAUUUCAUUUAUGUAGACAAUAUGCUUUUGGUAACUCAAUUUUGAGUAGCUCAAAAUUAAAAUCCUGUUAUAGGUCUGAGAGAUGGAAUCUGGUUUAGUGACUGUUCAACAGGAAACUGUAAUCUAGAAAUUCUUAACAAGGCAUCUAUCAUUGUGAGCAGUCAGCUUUCUAUAGCAGCCAUUUGUAAUUGGAAGCAGGCAAUCAACCACCACCCCACCAAAACCACCACCAUAAUAUUCAGGAAAACUUCCUGAACAUGGAUUUUCACAUUUUCACUUUGUACACUAUUAAAAAGACACAAGUUACACAAUUACUAGAGAGGCUGCAAUUUCAAUUCACAAUCCCAUUUAUGACAUUAUAGAAAACCUUGAAAUAAAAUGGUACCUUUGUGUUUUCCCAGAUGGUCACUUUGUACUUCGUAUUCUAAAGAGUGGAAUGUAGAUCCAUUUACCUGAAUAAAAAGGAGUCAUUUAGUGGAGUUUCAUUUCAUUAUUUUGAAAAUAAAAUAAAUGCACAGUGACUUGGAGUUCUCCUGCUUUGAUUUCUUAGUAUUUCAGGUGUCUUAUGGGCAGUGUGUCCUUGGUGUAAGUUAAAUAAUGCACAAGAACUAAGUUUCAUUUACACCUUGCACUACUCAAAAAUACAAAAGAACCUUAAAAUGGAAAUAAAUAAUUUAUGCACCAGAUUAAAGCUCUUCAAACUUGAGUGUAAAGUGUAAUUUUUUUAUGUGUCAAGACACUCUUUGUGAAGAGUCCUUAUGUAGUCAGUAGGUGAAGACCCUGUCCUUAGAAGUACUGAUGGGAAGGUCAGAAAAUUCAGGGUCCCCACAGCUAUCUAACAGUUUUGAUUAUGUGCCUGGCAGAGUUCUGAAAUUUUGGCCAAAUGAACUGAAAUGUUCUGGCUUGUAUAAGAAGCACCUUAAUUACACAAAGAGUAUAUUAUUUAGUUAAAUAUAGAAAACAGUCUAUGUGUAAGAUGUUAAUUCUUCACGGUGUAAAUCAGGGUUGGGAUAAGAGAGUUUAAUGUGGUCAGAUAAUUAGGACAUAGUGACCCUUGAGUUUUAAUCCCUUUUCUGACAUCAGAUACUUUUGUGUAUUGAAGUAAUUUAAAUUCUGUCCCUCCUGUAAUGUCAUGAUCCUAAUGAUAAUCAACCUUAACUAUGUUUAAAGGGGUGCUCAGAUUAGCUAGGUUGUUUUUGUGAAAGUGCUUUGAAGAUGAAAAGCACUGUGUCAAGGUAAAAGGUCUUAUUAUUUUUUUGUUACAACAAAAGUUACUGUAAAGAAAUAAAAGUGCUGUGUACACGUAGCUGAGCUUUGAGUUGCUUUAGCUAAUGUUACUUCAAAGAAACAACAGUGGGAUUGAAAAGAGGGGAAAAUAAAGGCUCAGUCAUGUCAAAUUUACCUUCUGCAUUUGUUCGUGCAGGACUUGGUGUCCAGAGCUCCCAUUGCACUGUACUGCUUGUAGACUUUGUUAUUUCUGUCCUACAGAUUCACAAAAUAAAUUUCAAUAAUGCUGGAGUUCAAGGAAGAGUGUCCUCUGUGUCCUUCUGUAUCAGCCAAGAGCUGACCCAAAGAGGAAGCCUAUAUUUACCAUAUGAUCAUACCAUGAAAAUAUCUUUCUCUUGCAAAUUCCAUGUAAAUUUUAUGUUUUCUCCUGUAAACUGGAAACAAUUUGUUGGAUCCUGUCCCCAAAGUAGUAAUUUAAGAUUUCAGCUGACUUCAGAGAAAAAUGAAUGUCUGUGUUUGGUGUGCAGACUAAUAUAUUUUAAGUAUAAACUGCAAGACUACUGCAUGGAAGCAUCCAAACGUCAUGUUCGGGAAUAUUUGGAAGCCUAAGUUUCCAACUGUUUAUUACAAUCCACCACCUAGAGUUUAGUGCUUCUACAGCUCUCUUGUGGAGCAGAAAGGUCUGUGAACUCUCAAAAGCAUGCCAGCAAAAAGGCUAACUGAUAAAGUUCAAGCAACCCUUAUCAACAGCUAAAGUGAAGAUGUCUCUCUUUACAUUGACGCUGCUAUGGAACUGUAACACUUUACCUUGGUCCAUUCAUUUGCUAAAUGAACAGUUGGCUUUUCCAACAUUUGCAAUAAGUGGAAGUAUCUUCAAGGGACCAUUUUAGUAACGCAAAAGCACCAGAAAAUCCCUUCCCUUUUUCUCGAGGAGGAACCAUCAAGAAGCCAACCACAUCAGUUUCAAAGCUGUGAUGUGUUCCUUGAGCACUAAAUAGCCUUAAUGAGGUAAAGAUUGCACAGUACACAGAAAGAGGAACUCUGCCAAAUGCAGGUGAGGGGAGGAGAAUUUUUCAGCUUACAGAUAAUUUACUGAUGCAGUAUUUUAGAAAGCUUUCAUGCAAAGAAACGCACAUUGUAUGAGAUCAGGUAUAUAAACUACUACAAGAUAAGAUAGUCAGGUCCAGGACCUUGACAUUUGACAUUACUGGCACAAGUUACUUCAGAAAAUAAAAUCCAUACUGCAAUUAAGCAUUAUAUGUCCUCAAAAGUCCCCAUUAUCUUCAAUGAGGCCACAGAAGAAAGACAACCUCAGAUCAUGUAGGAAAUGAUUACAAAAGAUGAACAUUGUAUGAAUUAACAUCUGCACUGGUCUGCUAGAAUUAGAAGUGUGUGCGUCUCCCUAAUACUGCCCCCAUACCAGUUAGUUUUUGUGUAUGAAGUACAUGAGUGCAUCUGUAUCACCUGUGCAUAGAAGUGCUUAUACAAUUGAUCUAGGUAGCUAUAGUACAAGGUACCUCUUCUUGCGGCUCUGCUGGAACUUGCUUACCUACCACAUGCUUCUACUUCCAGCAUUUUUUUUAACAAAGCACAUUAACUUACCUCUACAUCCAUCACACAAAUAUAAAAAAAGGAAGAAUGAAAAAGACUGGCAUAAAUUUUCCUCUGGUUUAUGUUGAAGUGUAGUUUUUCGAACCCCAGCCACAUUUUGUUUAGCCAAGAAUCCACUCUGACUGCUUCUUCACUUCAGGUGCCUUCCUUGGCUCUGCUCAGGCAUCACUCCUGUAUGACUUUGAUGACUAAGAGUUAUGUCCGGGUGAAUGUGAGCUGUGCCGCAGGGGCCUGUCCCGGCAGCAGUGUGACUCAGAGGCUCUGACGCAGAUUGCCUCCCCGCUUCCUCCUGGCCGCGGGCGGGCAGGUUCUCACUGCUGGCCCGGCGCAUCCUGAAGCUGGUACAUGCCCAUCCCGCGCAGUCCUGCUGUGGACGGCUGAGUCAUUUGGGAAACCUGAGCAGGAGGGCAGUGCAAUCGUCGCGAGUUCUGCGUUGUUCAUGUCUGCAAAGAGAAGAGAAAGAAUUUCCCCAAAAAAGCCUUUUCCAGGAGAAUUCUCUGGGUCUCAAGUGAACACAGAGGUGCAUCCUGAGACAUCACUGCCCAGGCAUCUGAUUCUUGUCCAGACUCAGACACAAGGAAAAUAAAUAAUUGAUUGUGACAGGGAAUCUCCAUCACAUGCUCAGGUGACAGAAGGAGUUUUCAGAAGCUGAAAUUUUGUCUGUGAAUAAAAGGAUAUCUUCUGAAAAUGUA